rnacentral:rRNA from 1 species
UACGGAGGGUGCAAGCGUUAUCCGGAUUCACUGGGUUUAAAGGGUGCGUAGGCGGGCAGGUAAGUCAGUGGUGAAAUCUCCGAGCUUAACUCGGAAACUGCCCGUUGAUACUAUUUGUCUUGAAUAUUGUGGAGGUAAGCGGAAUAUGUCAUGUAGCGGUGAAAUGCUUAGAUAUGACAUAGAACACCAAUUGCGAAGGCAGCUUACUACACAACGAUUGACGCUGAGGCACGAAAGCGUGGGGAUCAAACAGG